GACGAACGCUGGCGGCGUGCUUAACACAUGCAAGUCGAACGGAAAGGCCCUGCUUUUGUGGGGUGCUCGAGUGGCGAACGGGUGAGUAACACGCGUGUAACCUGCCCUUGACUUUGGGAUAACUUCAGGAAACUGGGGCUAAUACCGCAUAGGAGCUCCUGCUGCAUGGUGGGGGAUGGAAAGAUUCGGCGGUUGGGGCUGGACUCGCGGCUUAUCAGCUUGUUGGUGGGGUAGUGGCUUACCAAGGCUUUGACGGGUAGCCGGCCUGAGAGGGUGACCGGCCACAUGAGGACUAAGAGACGGCCCAGAAUCCUACGGGAGGCAGCAGUGGGGAAUAUUGCACAACGGGCGGAAGCCUGAUGCAGCAACGCCGCGUGCGGGAUGACGGCCUUCGGGUUGUAAACCGCUUUCGCCUGUGACGAAGCGUGAGUGACGGUAAUGGGUAAAGAAGCACCGGCUAACUACGUG
rnacentral:rRNA from 1 species